rnacentral:rRNA from 1 species
GAUCAUGGUUCACUAAAAAAAAGUGGAAUGAAUCUCGGAAGCUAAGCAGAGUCGAGCCUGGUUAGUACUUGGAUGGGAGACCACCUAGGAAGACCAGGUGCUGUAGGCA